rnacentral:rRNA from 1 species
AACGAACGCUGGCGGCAUGCCUAACACAUGCAAGUCGAACGAGACCUUCGGGUCUAGUGGCGCACGGGUGCGUAACGCGUGGGAACCUGCCCUUAGGUUCGGAAUAACUCCCCGAAAGGGGUGCUAAUACCGGAUAAUGUCUUCGGACCAAAGAUUUAUCGCCUUUGGAUGGGCCCGCGUUGGAUUAGCUAGUUGGUAGGGUAAAAGCCUACCAAGGCGACGAUCCAUAGCUGGUCUGAGAGGAUGAUCAGCCACACUGGGACUGAGACACGGCCCAGACUCCUACGGGAGGCAGCAGUGGGGAAUAUUGGACAAGGGGCGAAAGACUGAUCCAGCAAUGCCGCGUGAGUGAUGAAGGCCUUAGGGUUGUAAAGCUCUUUUACCCGGGAUGAUAAUGACAGUACCGGGAGAAUAAGCGCCGGCUAACUCCGUG